UUUGAUCCUGGCUCAGAGCGAACGUUAGCGGCGGGCCUAACACAUGCAAGUCGAGGGAGAAAGUGGCUUCGGCCAUGAGUAAACCGGCGGACGGGUGAGUAACACGUGGGUAAUGUACCUAUCGGCGGGGGAUAACAAUCCGAAAGGAUUGCUAAUACCGCAUACGCCAGUCGGAGCUCCGGCUCUGAUUGAGAAAGGUGGCCUCUCAGCGAAGCUACCACCGAUAGAUCAGCCCGCGUCCCAUCAGCUAGUUGGUGAGGUAAUGGCUCACCAAGGCUUAGACGGGUAGCUGGUCUGAGAGGAUGAUCAGCCACACUGGGACUGAGACACGGCCCAGACUCCUACGGGAGGCAGCAGUGGGGAAUAUUGGGCAAUGGGCGAAAGUCUGACGGAGCA
rnacentral:rRNA from 1 species